rnacentral:rRNA from 1 species
AUUGAACGCUGGCGGCAGGCUUAACACAUGCAAGUCGAGCGGGGUGAUGGUGCUUGCACUAUCACUUAGCGGCGGACGGGUGAGUAAUGCUUAGGAAUCUGCCUAUUAGUGGGGGACAGCAUCUCGAAAGGGAUGCUAAUACCGCAUACGUCCUACGGGAGAAAGCAGGGGAUCACUUGUGACCUUGCGCUAAUAGAUGAGCCUAAGUCGGAUUAGCUUGUUGGUGGGGUAAAGGCCUACCAAGGCGACGAUCUGUAGCGGGUCUGAGAGGAUGAUCCGCCACACUGGGACUGAGACACGGCCCAGACUCCUACGGGAGGCAGCAGUGGGGAAUAUUGGACGAUGGGGGGAACCCUGAUCCAGCCAUGCCGCGUGUGUGAAGAAGGCCUUAUGGUUGUAAAGCACUUUAAGCGAGGAGGAGGCUCUUUUGGUUAAUACCCAAGAUGAGUGGACGUUACUCGCAGAAUAAGCACCGGCUAACUCCGUGCCAGCCGCCGCGGUAA